UUGGUAAGUCCUAACUCCUUUGCUUUUAUUCACUCCGCUCUCUUGGCCAUCUUUAACGAAUUCCCAAUCUGUCUAUUUUGAAACAACACUGGCGGAAGGUAACCGAGGGGCUUAAUAGCCCUGCCCCACAGCCGGAGAAUCACAACCGGGAGCUUGAUCCUAGGUUCGAAGAGGACCCGGAUAUAUUCGUGGUACUCGCGGAAGGGGUGUUUUACCAGGCGAGUUAUGACGGCAUAGAAGUGGACAUUAUCGCCAAUUAUCCUGGUCUUCUUCCAGCUUCCCACGGGAGACGUUCGGCACGUCAUGCUACGCCGAGGAUGACUCCAAGAAGAGCGGCUCCCGCGCCGAACAAGGCCUCGAAAAGGAAGGUCCGCGAAGACAAGGCCGGUCCUUCAUCAAAGAGGAAAAAGGUUCGCCGGACUAUGUCCGGGGAUUCGGCCGGUCGUACUCCCAACAACCGGGAUUUAGAUCCCACCGGAGAGGUGGGGGGCACUAUGGGGACAACGCCGGACUGUCCUUCAGAUGAGAGUUCGGAAGACAUGUCUGUUACCAACUCGGAAGUAGAGAGCGCCAUGAAUCAUCGGCGCUGCAGGGCUGUCUUACGAGACCCUAAGUUCUCGGGAGAGGCAUUCAAUGCCUUCAGCUCGGCUGACGCAUACAUCCGAGCUGCUCGAGAUGGGCUUAGAAAAGCCACAAAG